ACAGUUGUUAUUGGUAUUGUUUUAUUGAGAAGGUGGUUUAUUAAGAAAUACACCACACAUUAUAUUGUAUUUGUUUUAUUGAGAAAGUGGUUUAAGUAAAACACCACACCAGUGUUAUUUUCGUUAACGAAGAUGACGACGAAAAAUAUUCGUUAACGAACAUUUUUCUGUGACUAAGAUGAGACGUUGACGAGCUAAAAAUAUUAUCUGAUGACGAAAUUAUGAAAAAAUUUAUGCCGCGCCUUCGUUAACUAGACGAGACUGGACUAUAAUGUUAUUUGAGGACUACCGGACAUUCAAAAUGCAUCCUAUAGGCUAUUGUCCUUCAAAAUGUGCGUCCCUGUCAUUGGAUUGCGAUCGGAUAAGGGGUGUUUGCAUAUCUAGUCAGUAUAGCAGCUGCAGUGGAUGGAUAGGCUAAUAAAAUGCGAACUAGCGAUCUGAAACAAUGGCCUCAGCACCCGAAGGGGUAGGGAUAAGGUAAUCAGACGUCCCGUUUUUCCCGGGAGUACGGUGUACAUUUUAGGACAUCCUCAGACCUCAGUCAUUAAAUGAAAAGGCGUCAUGCCUCAGACUAAAAGGCUUCAGUCAUUGGAAAAAACGGCAUCGCGCCUCAGACUGAAAAGCUUCAGAUCUCAGGAAAAAGGACGUCAGGUGUCAGGUCUCAUACAAUUAGGCAUCAGACGAAACGGACUCAGACAAAAAGGCAUCAGACGAAACAGACUCAGGAAAAAAGGCAUCAGACGAAAUGGACUCAGACAAAAAGGCAUCAGACGAAACGGACUAAACUCAGGAAAAAAGGCAUCAGACGAAAUGGACUCAGACAAAAAGGCAUCAGACGAAACGGACUCAGACAAAAAAAG
ensembl:lncRNA